rnacentral:lncRNA from 1 species
GUCAAUUUUAGUCACUAAGGCUGGAAACUAGUGAAUAAAUGUAAAUUUAAAGAAAAAAAAUACACAACCAUAUAUAUAUUUGGAAAUAUAAGAGUUAGUAGAAUAUAACCCAGUGAUUUCCAUGGCUUACAUUUGAGGGAUUUUUUUUAGCCAACAUUUUUCAGCCAAAUACUGCCUAUAACUACCUAAGCUAAGGUCGUGCUAAGAGUGUUCGCGUUGUGUAAAUCAGACGGGUUUGGACCUCCACGGCUGCCGUAGUGUCAGUCUGAAGCGCUUCGAGUUGAGAGUUGAGGCAGGUCUUGUUGGGUGUUCUCAGUAUGCAGUGUUCAAUACCUACCAAAAGUCCUCCAAGGUCUUGGGGUUCAUGGAGGCCCAAUCUCACAACUUUACUACAGGACCUAAAUGAUCUGCUGCUGAUGUCUUGGUGCCAGAUACCACAGGACACAACCAGAGGUCUUGUGGACUCUACGACUUAAUGGGUCUGAUCUGUUUCUGCAACACAAAGGGGACCAACACAAUAUUAGACACAAACAUGUGACCCAAGACUUUGACAGCUGCAGCAGCAAAGCCAAGGGACCCAUUCAUACUGAACCAGGACAGAGUGGGUAGAGUCAACACUUUGGCUGCUAACACACACUCCUGGAGUAAUGAAGCUAAUCAUGUGACACUGAGUAACAGGAUGGGUAAUCCCAGCGAACAGUUUUAGGUUAGUAGAAUGUUUUACAUUCUUAGUCAAGUUUUCUGGAUGCUCUUAGAGUGUUUUUAUUUAACAAUUUAACCAUUAUUAUGUCACAAAUUUUCAGAACAUUACUGAAACAUUAUUUCUAUAACAUUACAGGCUAACCUUCCUGGAACCUUCUCAAAAUGUUGAUAAACAUUCUUAUAACAUUUUCUGUUUGCUAG